rnacentral:rRNA from 1 species
GUCGAACGGCAGCACAGGAGAGCUUGCUCUCUGGGUGGCGAGUGGCGGACGGGUGAGGAAUACAUCGGAAUCUACUCUGUCGUGGGGGAUAACGUAGGGAAACUUACGCUAAUACCGCAUACGACCUACGGGUGAAAGCAGGGGAUCUUCGGACCUUGCGCGAUUGAAUGAGCCGAUGUCGGAUUAGCUAGUUGGCGGGGUAAAGGCCCACCAAGGCGACGAUCCGUAGCUGGUCUGAGAGGAUGAUCAGCCACACUGGAACUGAGACACGGUCCAGACUCCUACGGGAGGCAGCAGUGGGGAAUAUUGGACAAUGGGCGCAAGCCUGAUCCAGCCAUACCGCGUGGGUGAAGAAGGCCUUCGGGUUGUAAAGCCCUUUUGUUGGGAAAGAAAUCCAGCUGGCUAAUACCCGGUUGGGAUGACGGUACCCAAAGAAUAAGCACCGGCUAACUUCGUGCCAGCAGCCGCGGUAAUACGAAGGGUGCAAGCGUUACUCGGAAUUACUGGGCGUAAGGCGUGCGUAGGUGGUCGUUUAAGUCCGUUGUGAAAGCCCUGGGCUCAACCUGGGAACUGCAGUGGAUACUGGGCGACUAGAGUGUGGUAGAGGGUAGCGGAAUUCCUGGUGUAGCAGUGAAAUGCGUAGAGAUCAGGAGGAACAUCCAUGGCGAAGGCAGCUACCUGGAACAACACUGACACUGAGGCACGAAAGCGUGGGGAGCAAACA